GCACGCGUGAUGACCGUCGUGAGCGAAUUGUGGCAGAGUGUAAUGCUGUCCGCCAGGCCCUGCAGGACCUGCUUUCGGAGUACAUGGGCAAUGCUGGACGUAAAGAAAGAAGUGAUGCACUCAAUUCUGCAAUAGAUAAAAUGACCAAGAAGACCAGGGACUUGCGUAGACAGCUCCGCAAAGCUGUCAUGGACCACGUUUCAGAUUCUUUCCUGGAAACAAAUGUUCCACUUUUGGUGUUGAUUGAAGCUGCAAAGAAUGGAAAUGAGAAAGAAGUUAAGGAGUAUGCCCAAGUUUUCCGUGAACAUGCCAACAAAUUGAUUGAGGUAAGUGAAUUAGCAGUUUCAUUGACUUGUAGGCAACUUGGUGAAGUGUGGUGAGUUUUAAUCACAUUAUUUAAUCAGCUAAAAUUUGUA
rnacentral:sRNA from 1 species